rnacentral:rRNA from 1 species
UGAACGCUGGCGGUAUGCUUAACACAUGCAAGUCGAACGGAAACGAUACUAGCUUGCUAGUAGGCGUCGAGUGGCGGACGGGUGAGUAACGCGUAGGAAUCUGCCUGAUAGUGGGGGAUAGCCCGAAGAAAUUCGGAUUAAUACCGCAUAAUCUAUUCGUAGUAAAGUGGGGGACUUUCGAGCCUCACGCUAUCAGAUGAGCCUGCGUAAGAUUAGCUAGUUGGUAGGGUAAAAGCCUACCAAGGCGACGAUCUUUAGCUGGUCUGAGAGGAUGAUCAGCCACAUCGGGACUGAGACACGGCCCGAACUCCUACGGGAGGCAGCAGUGGGGAAUAUUGGACAAUGGGGGCAACCCUGAUCCAGCAAUACCGCGUGUGUGAAGAAGGCCUGAGGGUUGUAAAGCACUUUCAAUUGUGAAGAAAAGCUAGUGGUUAAUAGCCAUUAGCCUUGACGUUAACUUUAGAAGAAGCACCGGCUAACUCCGUGCCAGCAGCCGCGGUAAUACGGAGGGUGCAAGCGUUAAUCGGAAUUACUGGGCGUAAAGCGUGCGUAGGCGGUUUAUUAAGUCAGAUGUGAAAGCCCCGGGCUUAACCUGGGAACUGCAUUUGAAACUGGUCAACUAGAGUAUGGUAGAGGAAAGUGGAAUUUCUGGUGUAGCGGUGAAAUGCGUAGAUAUCAGAAGGAACAUCAAUGGCGAAAGGCAACUUUCUGGACCAAUACUGACGCUGAGGUACGAAAGCGUGGGUAGCAAACAGGAUUAGAUACCCUGGUAGUCCACGCCGUAAACGAUGAUAACUAGCCGUUGGGGGGAUUUACCCCUUAGUGGCGAAGCUAACGCGUUAAGUUAUCCGCCUGGGGAGUACGGCCGCAAGGUUAAAACUCAAAGGAAUUGACGGGGACCCGCACAAGCGGUGGAGCAUGUGGUUUAAUUCGAUGCAACGCGAAGAACCUUACCUGGUCUUGACAUCCUGCGAACUUUCUAGAAAUAGAUUGGUGCCUUCGGGAACGCAGUGACAGGUGCUGCAUGGCUGUCGUCAGCUCGUGUCGUGAGAUGUUGGGUUAAGUCCCGUAACGAGCGCAACCCCUAUCCUUAUUUGCCAGCACAUCAUGGUGGGAACUAUAAGGAGACUGCCGGUGAUAAACCGGAGGAAGGCGGGGACGACGUCAAGUCAUCAUGGCCCUUACGACCAGGGCUACACACGUGCUACAAUGGGAAAGACAAAGAGCCGCGAAGCCGCGAGGUGUAGCUAAUCUCAGAAACCUUUUCGUAGUCCGGAUUGGAGUCUGCAACUCGACUCCAUGAAGUCGGAAUCGCUAGUAAUCGUAGAUCAGAAUGCUACGGUGAAUACGUUCCCGGGUCUUGUACACACCGCCC